rnacentral:rRNA from 1 species
GCGUAGGAAAUUUGAGAAGACCUGUCCUUAGUACGAGAGGACCGGGAUGGACGUACCUCUGGUGUACCAGUUGUUCUGCCAAGGGCAUGGCUGGGUAGCUAUGUACGGAAUGGAUAAGCGCUGAAAGCAUCUAAGCGCGAAGCCAACUUCAAGAUAAGAUUUCCCACCGCAAGGGUAAGACUCCAGAAAGACUAUCUGGUUGAUAGGUCGAAGGUGUAAGUGCAGCAAUGUAUUUAGCUUAUCGAUACUAAUAGGUCGAGGACUUGACCAAU